UUCCUCUUUAUCUCUUUCUUUCACUUCUUCUGGCCCUCUAUUCUCUCUCGCUCCCUUUUUCUUCUAGUGUUUCGGCCCUUUUGAAGAAUCUCGCUGGUGCUCGAUUUCUAGGGUUUCUCUCAAGCCUAUAUCGGAGAAAUUUCGAUCGAAAUCUCUUGGAUUCCAAACCCUCUCCUUCCCUUCGAUCUCAGGCGCUGAAAGGUUAGCGUUUGUGUUUGAUCUAUGAUCGAUAUCGUGCUUGAGGUUUUUCUUGUUACGGAAAUGGGGAGGGUUAUCGCGGAGCCAAAUGCUGGCAGAGGUGCUCAUCACUGAACGGUAGCAUAGAACAGUGCCUUUGCCUUCUGCUUGAAUUGUUUGCAAUGAAGCUUGACAUGCUUUUUUCUUUAAAAUGAGAUGUUUUCAUUGAUGAAAAAUUUCAAUAGAUUUGUGUAAUCUGGACUUAGACAAAAUUUAAAUAUGGUGAUAUGUAUGGAUAAUAUUUGGCGUAGUGGAGUGGCUCUGGGUAAUGGAACCUUCCUUGCAUUUGGGUUUGCAUAUUAUAUGUGCCUGUCUUGAACCUAACCUGGCCACACUUGUUUUUUCAACUGGAGUUAGUUGAAAAAAUGUCCUUGGAGUAAGUUGACUACAUCGUUGAUGAGCAUAAUAUAGACAUUGACUCGAUCACUCUUAGAAAUGUGAAGGUAAUGUAUUUGUUCAACCACUACUUGUCAAGGGAUAAUUCAUGACUUUGAUGUUACAUAGAACCUUAAGUAUCUUGAACUAUUGUCUGACGUAGACAAGUAAGUUUCUAUCUUUCCUUUUCAUUUAAUUUGGUUGCAAUUUUGGACUAGGUUCUAACAAACACUAGUGCUAUAAUUUCUUGACCACAGGUUUUUAUAAUUGAUUUCUAGUCACUGUAAAUUGUGCGACUAUGGCAUCAUUUCAACAUUUCUUUUCUUAAUAGCAUUAAAGGAAUCAAUUGUAAUAUGUUGGGUUUAUUACUCAUCACUAUUCUUUUAUUUAGUGCAAACAUGAGAACAUUAAACCUAUAUCUUAUUAGUAAGAAAGUGAUUCCAGUCCUCUUACAUGACAUCAUUAUUUCCCAACAGGAAAGUAGGAUUAAAUUAAGGGAAACUCAGAUAUGUUUAUAGAUGCACACCAUGUGGAUGUUAACCUGACAGCUUUAGAAAUUUCUAUUUCCCAUUUUACAUUUUUAUGAUUAGGAAUACCAAUUAAGAUGAUUGGAAACUUGAGCAUUGUUUAUAUGAUCACAGUGAUGGUUCAUUUUUCUUAAAAACUUAUACCUUUGCUUUCAGGUAACUAUAUUCAAACAACAUGCAAAAAGGUUGGCUUCUUUAAACAGCAGAUUGAUUGGCAUCAAAGUUGGAGACUUUUGCUAUGUUAAAGAUGGCCUUGUUCUUGGCCAACACAUGGGAAACCGGUUCACAAUUACCUUGAGAGGUGUUGUGGCAGAAUCUCAGGAUAUUGUGAAAGCUGCAGCUGAUGGUUUGAGCAGGAAUGGGUUUAUCAACUAUUAUGGUUUACAGCGUUUUGGAAGUGGUUCAGUGCCUACUCACAUGAUUGGAGCAGCAUUGCUGAAAGGGGAAUGGAAGCACGCUGUGGAUUUUAUUCUUAACCCAAGAGAAGGAGAUAUCCUUAAACAAUUGAUAUGCUUUGAGCUUGGUUCUAGUUAUGGCUCUUAGACUAUUGUCACUGGGUACUUCUUCUUAUUAGUUGUUCUCCUGUUAUUUUUAACUAUUUAGAUCAAAAAACGUGCUUUUGUAAGGGACGCUCGUGAAUCCUACAAGGAAUAUGGUGAUAUUGAUAUAGCCCUGAGGCAGUUUCCUCACCAUCUUGUUGCUGAGAGAGCUGUUGUAAGCCUUCUCUCUCUCUCACACACACACACGCACACACGCAUGCAUGCACACACAUCAUGGUAAAGUGUGUUUUGAUAUACAUUUGUUCAUUACUUGCUUGACUAUCCAUCCUCUUUACUUGGAUAAUGUUUUUUUUUUGUUAUAUAGCGUCAAUGUCUGAAGAAAUGCCCUGGAAACUAUCUGCAGGCAUUAAAAGCGAUACCUAGAAUUCUUAGAAUGAUGUGGAUUUGGAUCUUAUUUACCAAGUUAUAGAUGAUACAUAAUAUAUAUCUCAAACAUCGUAUGUCAGAGUGUCUUAAAGACUCGUUGCCGGAUUCCUGAAUUUUGAAACGGUUCAAAUCAACAGUGCCAGGCUGUGGUAGUUGAAAUAAAAAUAUCACAUGCCCAAAUGUAGCAGCACUUUCUUUUCUUGCUGAAAUCUAUCAAGAUUGAUGUGCUGCAAUUCAGUAGUCCAAAUUCAGGAAACGUAAUUCUUCUUGGCCAACCUUGCAUUGUGGACAAGGCUAGUGGUAUGAUGAAUGCUUGUUUUUAGAGUGUUGGUUGGGUGAGAUGGAAAGAUGAUCUAAGAAAGUGUGUGGGGCUUUGGGAAUUGGCAUGGUUAAUGUAAGCACUGUAAGGGUUCAGAUAGAAUUGAAUGAAGAACUAGUAAAACAAAGAAGAGGACAACACAAGGGACGAGGGCAUGAGGGGACAACAUUUCCACCGGCAUGUCUUCAAAAUGGAGAACAUUCUAUGAGUUUCUACAUCAUUUUGGUGUUCUUGCCCCUGAAAUACUAGAAGGAAAUUAUGAUGAUAAGGUCGCCUGUUAGAAGAUUUUGGAUAAGAAGGGCAUGCUAGGUUACCAGUAACUCAUUAUGCCUGUGCCGGCUUGGUCUUUUGGGUAACAUCAAAGUGAACUCUAUAGAAUUCAUGGCUGUGAGUAGCUGCAAGAUAUGUGAGAUUCUUUAUCCAUAUGCUGUCAAAAGCAAAUUAUGAAGUUUGUUUGGUCUUUUUAUUUACCUUUCUGGUGAAAGGAAUUUGUCCUCUGUCAAGUGGUGGUAAACAAGGGCUAAAGUGAAAAUUUUAACUACAUGUACGUUACUGAGUUUCUUGCAUGGGUUUGGUCAUUUAACAUAAGUCGUCAUUGUAUAUCUGAAGAUUAUGUUGUGGAUAAGAUCAUAGGUAUGACAUUAACGUAGUAUUAUCACUCUUUUCAAUGUGUAUGGCAGCCGAGUGUAUAUUGUGAAACCCUCUUUUAAUAUUAAUGGUUGUUCUUUGCUGGCAGAUUGGAAAGACCAAGGUAUUCCUGAGAGCUGGUCAGAUGGCUGAAUUACAUGCAAGAAGAGCUGAAGUUAUGGGAAGAGCAGCCACACUGGAGAGGAAAAAUUUUCUCUGAAGUUGAUAAAAAUGUUUCAGAAUGCUAUGAAUUCAAAGUCCAUCCUUUGUGUAAAAUCACAAUUAAAUCCUGAUGUCUACUUGCUCACUUUGUAAAGAUAUAUUCUUAAAUACAAGUUAUGAGUUUGUAUA